GGGGAAGUGCCAUAGCUCAGUGGCAGAGCACCUGCUUUCCAUGCAGAAGGUCCCAGGUUCAAUCCCCGGCUUCUCCA